GGGUUGUGAGGUUAAGCGACUAAGCGUACACGGUGGAUGCCCUGGCAGUCAGAGGCGAUGAAGGGCGUGCUAAUCUGCGAUAAGCGCCGGUAAGGUGAUAUGAACCGUUAUAACCGGCGAUACCCGAAUGGGGAAACCCAGUGUGACUCGUCACACUAUCAUUAACUGAAUCCAUAGGUUAAUGAGGCGAACCGGGGGAACUGAAACAUCUAAGUACCCCGAGGAAAAGAAAUCAACCGAGAUUCCCCCAGUAGCGGCGAGCGAACGGGGAGGAGCCCAGAGCCUGAAUCAGCAUGUGUGUUAGUGGAAGCGUCUGGAAAGGCGCGCGAUACAGGGUGACAGCCCCGUACACAAAAGCGCAUGUGCUGUGAGCUCGAUGAGUAGGGCGGGACACGUGGUAUCCUGUCUGAAUAUGGGGGGACCAUCCUCCAAGGCUAAAUACUCCUGACUGACCGAUAGUGAACCAGUACCGUGAGGGAAAGGCGAAAAGAACCCCGGCGAGGGGAGUGAAAAAGAACCUGAAACCGUGUACGUACAAGCAGUGGGAGCCCCACCACCAAAGCAUUUGCUGUACCGCGUUGACGGAGCGAAGCGACGUCAAACCGAUAAAACAGCAGUGUAAAGUGAG
rnacentral:rRNA from 1 species